rnacentral:rRNA from 1 species
GACGAACGCUGGCGGCGUGCUUAACACAUGCAAGUCGUACGGUAAGGCCCUUUCGGGGGUACACGAGUGGCGAACGGGCGAGUAACACGUGAGUAACCUGCCCACAACUUUGGGAUAACGCUAGGAAACUGGUGCUAAUACUGGAUAUGUGCUCCUGCUGCAUGGUGGGGGUUGGAAAGCUCCGGCGGUUGUGGAUGGACUCGCGGCCUAUCAGCUUGUUGGUGGGGUAGUGGCCUACCAAGGCGGCGACGGGUAGCCGGCCUGAGAGGGUGACCGGCCAAAUUGGGACUGAGAUACGGCCCAGACUCCUACGGGAGGCAGCAGUGGGGAAUAUUGCACAAUGGGCGCAAGCCUGAUGCAGCAACGCCGCGUGCGGGAUGACGGCCUUCGGGUUGUAAACCGCUUUCAGCAGGGACGAAGCUUUUUGUGACGGUACCUGCAGAAGAAGCACCGGCUAACUACGUG